rnacentral:rRNA from 1 species
UGGGGAAUAUUGGACAAUGGGCGCAAGCCUGAUCCAGCCAUGCCGCGUGAGUGAUGAAGGCCCUAGGGUUGUAAAGCUCUUUCACCGGUGAAGAUAAUGACGGUAACCGGAGAAGAAGCCCCGGCUAACUUCGUGCCAGCAGCCGCGGUAAUACGAAGGGGGCUAGCGUUGUUCGGAUUUACUGGGCGUAAAGCGCACGUAGGCGGACUAUUAAGUCAGGGGUGAAAUCCCGGGGCUCAACCCCGGAACUGCCUUUGAUACUGGUAGUCUUGAGUUCGAGAGAGGUGAGGGGAAUUCCGAGUGUAGAGGUGAAAUUCGUAGAUAGUCGGAGGAACACCAGUGGCGAAGGCGGCUCACUGGCUCGAUACUGACGCUGAGGUGCGAAAGCGUGGGGAGCAAACAGG